GAUCCGGCCUGAGCGGGUGAGACCCCCUGCCCUUAGCUUGGUACUUCCACUUCCAUCCGUAGUCUUUUUAAAGUGUGGUGCGCUGUAGCGAUAGCUCCAGUCGGACAGCGUUUACCCUCAAGUCUGCAGUAACGAGGUUGAAUAUGAGAAAGCUGUAGCCCAUGUAUGUACUUUUAAGCUUUUACUAUGGGCAGAUGUAAAAGUAACUCUACUUGGUUUGGAAACGGCUGUGAUGUGGUGCGAAAUAUUGCUCCAGGUGAUGAAUAAACAACUUAUGCAUGUGUAUUGGUUUAAAAGAGGCACAGGCUGCUGGAUGUCCUGUUCAAGGUGUGUCAAAAUGCCUGAAUUGGUCAAAAGAUAAUGCAAUAAUUGGUGCUUUCAAGAACAUGUAACUGCUGUUGAUUCAUCAUUUGUGGUGUCCUUUGGUUGGCUGGAGUCUCCAUUUGAUGAAGGUGUUGGAUGUAACUAUGCCUGAAGAGGGGCAUUUGCUUCAAGGGGUUGGAUUGUAAGGUGGAUUUUAGCUGUUGACAUACGACAACUUUAGUGCUGACAUUCAUACUUUUCGUAUAAGGAUUUAUUCAGCCGCUAAUGGAAUUAAUUAACAUUGGGGGUCAUCAUGAAUUGGGUACUGAUGUUGGGGCUAUGUGAACUCUUCUGUAGAGCAGUUCAAGAUCAUAACCAUGGACCAUUUGUUAGUUUAUCAAAACUUGGGGUACUUACCUGCCUAUAUAGUAGAACAUCGUAGUACUGUGGAAUAUCAUUGGAACUGUACAAUAUCUGAGUAUAUAUUUUGAAGUCAGAUGGGGUAAUUAUUUAAAAAAAGUCAAUUAUGUUUGUUGAUUUCUCUUCAAGCCUACGUAGUAUGGACCUUCAACAAUAGUGUUAAAAUUAGACCGUGUGUUUGGGUGGUGGAAAUGAGGCCUAUCACAAAUCAAGGAUGAAAUUACUUUGGAUUAUGGAAUGGAAAAUGCAAAACCGAGUCUACUAGAUUUAAGUUUACUGGGAGAUGGUUUUGAUUAGCGUUUUUAAUGGUUAUUUUCCGUAGCGGUUUGCAUAUCGUCAAUGGAGGAGCACACAGAUAUUAAAGUCGGGUUUUUUUUGCUUGCCAUCUGCUAUGAAGACAUUCAGAACAGCCAUGAAGAUGUGGUAAAUCUGUUGAACUUCUGGUGAUGUUGGAGUUAAAUAGGCCAAUACUCAUAAGAAUAAUAUGGAUUAGAAAGUAAAGCACCAUCCUUUGUAUGUUGGGAAUUUUUUUAUCAGUUUUAUUUCCAAAUGUGGAGGAGGAUGACGUUUAUUAAAGUAAUUAUGUUUAUUCUAACGAAAAUAUUUAAUGGUUGAAACUAGGAAAAUGUGCUGAUUUAAGUUCGCGUGGAUAUUAGUGGAUAUACGCCAUCAUUACUUUUGUUGCCCGCACUGGAGCUUUUCCGUAACCAUGUCCAUUUGGUCAGCAGCCCAAGGCGAAGCUUGGUUUCUCAACUCAUUUAUCCCCUGCCCCUCCUCCAGUUCAGGCCAUUCGAAGGUUUGAUCCCGUUCGGACCAACAUAAAUUUUCAUCGCGAUUGGGGUUUAAAACUUACUGUUUUUAGUGGGAUAUGUAUAUUUCUAAACCAACUUUCUACUUCUAUAUUCCUUUUUCCAUUCUUUACUUUUUACUUUCUCGGUACAUGGUUCUUUACCCUUGCUCCUUUUGUAGGAACAGAGGUAGCUAUUCCUGCGAGAGAGUUUUUCAUAUUAUAAAUGGCUCUGUGUUAAAAUAUUUGACAAGUUAAAAGUCUGGGAUUUAAAUCCUUCAAAAUUCAAA
rnacentral:lncRNA from 1 species